rnacentral:tRNA from 1 species
GCGGGAAUAGCUCAAUUGGUAGAGUGGCAGCCUUCCAAGCUGUAGGUUGCGGGUUCGAGUCCCGUUUCCCGCU